UACGGAGGGUGCAAGCGUUGUCCGGAAUCACUGGGCGUAAAGGGCGCGUAGGCGGCUCAUGAAGGCUGUGGUGAAAGUCCGGGGCUCAACCUCGGAUCGGCCGUGGCGACUCGUGGGCUGGAGCACUGUAGAGGCGGGUGGAAUUCCGGGUGUAGCGGUGGAAUGCGUAGAGAUCCGGAGGAACACCAGUGGCGAAGGCGGCUCGCUGGGCUCUACCUGACGCUGAGGCGCGAAAGCGUGGGGAGCGAACCGG
rnacentral:rRNA from 1 species